CUGGACCCUAGGAGCUGACAGAUGCGCACUCCCCUGGAGUCUGGUCACCUGGCAGUGAUGGAGAAUAGGAAAGGAGCUACAGGCAGGAGGAAGAAACAGAAAUGAUGAAGCCUCUGAAGACAGCAAUCUGGAUCUGCAGAAAUGGCAAUGCAAUGCUUCCUUUGAAGCAUGUAACAGAAAUCAGCUCGAGCCAAGGCUAUUUUCAUAACGCUGUGGAACUUUUAUAAUUGGGGAAAAACACUCAGUCUUUUUGGGUAUGAGUCUAUUAGCAUGGCACAUUUUGA